rnacentral:misc_RNA from 1 species
AAGUCGUAACAAGGUUUCCGUAGGUGAACCUGCGGAAGGAUCAUUAUUGAAUUCAAAGUGAAGUUGUGCUGGCUUCUAGGAGCAUGUGCACGCUUUGCAUAUAUAUUCAACCACCUGUGAACUUAUUGUAGACCUAGGGAUUGAAAUCUCAAGGAAACUUGGACGUAGGAGUUGCGGGUCUAUCACAGAUCAGCUUCACCUUGAUAGUUCCUAGGUCUAUGUCUUUACAAACCCUUAUAAAAUGUCAAAGAAUGUCUUACUGGGCUUGUAUAGCCUUUAAAACUAAUACAACUUUCAACAACGGAUCUCUUGGCUCUC